rnacentral:rRNA from 1 species
GAUGAACGCUGGCGGCGUGCCUAAUACAUGCAAGUCGAGCGAAUGGAUUAAGAGCUUGCUCUUAUGAAGUUAGCGGCGGACGGGUGAGUAACACGUGGGUAACCUACCCAUAAGACUGGGAUAACUCCGGGAAACCGGGGCUAAUACCGGAUAACAUUUUGAACCGCAUGGUUCGAAAUUGAAAGGCGGCUUCGGCUGUCACUUAUGGAUGGACCCGCGUCGCAUUAGCUAGUUGGUGAGGUAACGGCUCACCAAGGCAACGAUGCGUAGCCGACCUGAGAGGGUGAUAGGCCACACUGGGACUGAGACACGGCCCAGACUCCUACGGGAGGCAGCAGUAGGGAAUCUUCCGCAAUGGACGAAAGUCUAACGGAGCAACGCCGCGUGAGUGAUGAAGGCUUUCGGGUCGUAAAACUCUGUUGUUAGGGAAGAACAAGUGCUAGUUGAAUAAGCUGGCACCUUGACGGUACCUAACCAGAAAGCCACGGCUAACUACGUGCCAGCCGCCGCAGUAA